rnacentral:rRNA from 1 species
GACGAACGCUGGCGGCGUGCUUAACACAUGCAAGUCGAACGGAAAGGCCCUGCUUUUGUGGGGUGCUCGAGUGGCGAACGGGCGAGUAACACGUGAGUAACCUGCCCUUGACUUUGGGAUAACUUCAGGAAACUGGGGCUAAUACCGGAUAGGAGCUCCUGCUGCAUGGUGGGGGUUGGAAAGUUUCGGCGGUUGGGGAUGGACUCGCGGCUUAUCAGCUUGUUGGUGGGGUAGUGGCUUACCAAGGCUUUGACGGGUAGCCGGCCUGAGAGGGUGACCGGCCACAUUGGGACUGAGAUACGGCCCAGACUCCUACGGGAGGCAGCAGUGGGGAAUAUUGCACAAUGGGCGGAAGCCUGAUGCAGCAACGCCGCGUGCGGGAUGACGGCCUUCGGGUUGUAAACCGCUUUCGCCUGUAACGAAGCGUGAGUGACGGUAAUGGGUAAAGAAGCACCGGCUAACUACGUG